rnacentral:rRNA from 1 species
AUUGAACGCUAGCGGGAUGCCUUACACAUGCAAGUCGAACGGCAGCGCGGACUUCGGUCUGGCGGCGAGUGGCGAACGGGUGAGUAAUGUAUCGGAACGUGCCCAGUAGCGGGGGACAACCACUCGAAAGAGUGGCUAAUACCGCAUACGCCCUACGGGGAAAGGGGGGAUCGCAAGACCUCUCACUAUUGGAGCGGCCGAUAUCGGAUUAGCUAGUUGGUGGGGUAAAGGCCUACCAAGGCGACGAUCCGUAGCUGGUUUGAGAGGACGACCAGCCACACUGGGACUGAGACACGGCCCAGACUCCUACGGGAGGCAGCAGUGGGGAAUUUUGGACAAUGGGGGAAACCCUGAUCCAGCCAUUCCGCGUGUGCGAUGAAGGCCUUCGGGUUGUAAAGCACUUUUGGCAGGAAAGAAAUCGUGUGGGUUAAUACCCUGCGCGGAUGACGGUACCUGCAGAAUAAGCACCGGCUAACUACGUG